ensembl:lncRNA
CUCAUUUGUUUGCUGCCUGCCGUGGGAGGCGUCGCGCGGCGUCUUGUGGAGCUCUGAGCUGUCGGAUUUAGCGGCUGGACCGGUCAGGAGCCGGCUGGGUCCGUUCAAUCCCGAGUCUCGCCGAGAGAUGGACUCCAAUGGCCCAUCGAUGCGGAGCCACACAUGGGCCGACCACUGACCGCGGGGGUCCGGAAGAGAAACCCGCCCUUUGCCGUUUUUGUCAGCGGCUGAGCAUGGACAACACCAUCUAAAGGAGGACUAAAAGCAGAAUAAAAAAACGUUUGGGAAACGUUUGGGAGGUCAAGGAGAAAACCGCGUGCACAACCAUAUUUGGACAUCCUGUUGCUCAUGUGACACGGCCUACCGAGGUCUGUGCAGAUGAAGUAGCGCUAGAUGCCUGUGAUGGCCGAUCAGCAGCAUGGGCCACUCGGACAUGCCCAGGGUCCUCUGUCGGAGUUCCGGUCCACGUUACGGGACGUUUUUGCACACCACAGAGUUUUUUUUCUUCCAAUUUUGUUCACGGGAAAAGGCGAGUAAUUGAAAACCCACCCUUGGGGGAGUUGAUCUUUUUCGUUGUUUAUUUUAGAUAGUGGGUUUAUUUUUUGGAAAAAAAAGUAAUCUCUUUCAAAACACCUUUUGUCGUCUAAUUUUUUCAUCUAUGAAAUGGAGAAAUUUAUUAUGAAGCAUCUCUUCUUGAGCCGCCCUCAGUGACAGAGGAGGGGAAGCCGUUUCACAGAGACGAGAGAGAGAGAGAGAGAGAGAGAGAGAGAGAGAGAGAGAGAGAGAGAGGGAGAGAGCGUUACCUGGGAUAGUAACAUAGUGUUGGUGACUCACGGUGUCUUCUCUAAUUGGCCGUGUUGCUCUUGCUGGCGGGGCUAGCACCAUGGAGAGGGGCUGGGGGGAGGCUGCGUAGCACGCCGCACGCCAGGCCGGGCACUUGAGCUCCUGAGCAAGGUUAAGUACAGCCCCCCCUUGCCCCCCUGCCCCUGCAUGAAUCCCGACCAGCGGUCGAUUUCCAACGCGGGGCUUGUGUGUUCAUGCGGUGUGUGAAUCUGGGUGCAAGAAAAUAAGGCAGAAGCAGUGCGCUGACUGACAAGCGAGCGGCGAGGCUGCAGACGCUGCAAGCAAGCGGAGGGGACGGGGUUCAGGUACGCUAAGCUGGCGUUCCCGCUGUCAAGACACACAACGCCACCGGGACGCUUACCGCCUGCGGAAUAGGCAGCGGCAGCAGCAGAGGAAGAAGAGUGCAACUUGUGUGAGGCUGAUCACUGCCGUCAGUGUCAUCAC